rnacentral:rRNA from 1 species
GACGAACGCUGGCGGCGUGCUUAACACAUGCAAGUCGAACGGAAAGGCCUCUUUCGGGGGGUACUCGAGUGGCGAACGGGUGAGUAACACGUGAGUAACCUGCCCUUGACUUUGGGAUAACUUCAGGAAACUGGGGCUAAUACCGGAUAGGAGCUCCUGCUGCAUGGUGGGGGUUGGAAAGUUUCGGCGGUUGGGGAUGGACUGGCGGCGUAUCAGCUUGUUGGUGGGGUAGUGGCUUACCAAGGCUUUGACGGGUAGCCGGCCUGAGAGAGUGACCGGCCGCAUUGGGACUUAGGGACGGCCCAGACUCCUACGGGAGGCCGCAGUGGGGAAUAUUGCACAAGGGAUGGAAGCCUGAUGCAGCAGCGCCGUGGGCGGGAUGACGGCCUUCGGGUUGUAGAACGCUUUCGCGCAUAACGAAGCUUUGUGUGACGGUAGUGGGUAAAGAAGCACCGGCUAACUACGUG